CUUGGGGUGAAUUGUGCAACAAUUACGACAUUAUGUCAGUGCAUUUCCAAUUUACUCAAACAGAAAGCGAUUACAAUUUUGUGUUGAUUUUAUUUAAGAAAGACAACACCGCUCAUUAACGACAUUCGCAUUUCGCAGUUCGGAUUUCGGAAGGUCGUCUGCAUUCUGCAGGACUUACAACACUCCAUUCAUUGUGAAGUUAACCAUCUUGGCUGGAAUAAUAUCUGGGUUAACUCGAAAUCCUCCCAUGGGAUGGGUUUUGGUGUAAUACAGACUGCAAAAAUGAUCCCGAAAACUGCAAUAUUAGUUUUUUAAGAUUUACUUCAACAUUGAACAUUUAGUGAAAACUUUUAUGGAAAUGACUGCCAUCAAAGUAUCUGAAGGAUAUUUAAGUACUGGCAUCAAUAUAAUAUCAUUGGAUGAAUGUUGCCUUGAUCAUAAUCGCUCAGAGAAUGGGCAAUUCAAGCUGAUGCCUCAAGUGGAAUCAAAGCUGCCUUGCUGACUAUUUUCAUUCGAAAGGUUUACAAUUUGGAAUGUAUUGAAAACUACUGAAGUAACGGAACUUUGACGACAUCGAUGAUUCGUGGGACGUGGGUCAAGCAUCAUUGAUUAUUAUGGUGACAAGCAAGAUAGUUUGAUCCCGGUUGCUGGACCUGGCCACUGGAAUGAUCCUGAAAUCAUUGUGAAUAUGGUUAUACUUAACCUUAGCGAAUAUUCUCUAAUUGUGUUCCAAAAUGAUUCCUUGAAUUCUUUUCUUCUUCAUUUUGACCGAUUCGAACCCGAAACCAUAGACAACCGAUCCGAUGGUUUCUCGUAAUAAUAACUUAAACUUACUUAAUUGAUAGUCUUAUAUUUGAUUGAUAGUUUAACAUCAUUCGAUAGAGAAUUUUCACGUGUUUCCAGUUAUCCUCGCGUGAACUUCCAAUUAUUCUCUACUAUGUUUCGCAUUUAAUAAAUCGCUAAAUAAUUGCAUUAAAUUAAAAAAAAAUAACAGAAAUAAAUGAAGCUGAGGUUAAAAAAUAGUCUAGCGUGUGCCAGGAGUUGAACCACCGACAUGUAUUGAACAUCUCAGAUUCGUCCCUUUUCUAUACGAGACAAUCUAUUUGAAGAAAAAGAUUUUUUUUUUGUUUCAUUUUUCUUAUUAUUAACCCCCCUUCAUAUUUACAGAAUAUGUAAAGAAGUCACGAAAAAAAAAAACGAAAAAAAAAACAACUAAUCAAAGCAAGGCAUGUAAGAAAUUUGACAACGUUCGCCCUGGGCUACUGGUCUUUUAUUGGUUCUUGACUUUGUGUGCCGGUUCGUGCAUUAAACUAAUGUCUAAUGGCGUCAAUGAAGUUCACAUCACUUUUUAAGUUUUCUGUUGGACGUUCAGAUUUUCACUCGAGGUUUUCGAAUAUUGUAAACGGGAUAGACGUACUAGUUGGAGUUGUUGUCUUGGAGCAGUCCAUCAUUGGCGAACUCGGUUAUAAGAUGCUGUCUUUUCCUUCACUAUGAUCUCCAGAAUAUGCAAGGAGAUUAAGGAAAGGCCCUGUUGACCGACUUGUGAAGGCUAAAUCCGGGCUAAAUCACUAGGGACAGAAUCACCUGCAGAAGAAGAUGAGCCAUCGAAUUUACUUCUGCCCUGAUCGUCACCUGCGGCCAUGGGUAAGGUUAUACACACUUUAAUGUAAUGUUUCCACUUUCUUGUGAUUGUUACCGUUUGACACUGCACUUCUCCGUUUGAUUUCCCAUUUCCCUUGUGUCAUUUUGUGAUGUUGAAUUUUCCCAUUGGUUUUCUGUUGGUGAUGUUUAGAAUGGCGCAACGUCUUGCGUGUUUUCAAAAGCCUACAUCCAUUCCGCGCGCGUUGAAUUGUUACGAUAAAAGGUCAUCUGUUGAUGGCAUCUCCAUUGUUUUUCGCUCAAAGGAAAUUACUGCUGUAAAUUGCCGACAACUCUUUAAGAUAGCCAUAAUCCCAAAAUUGUAUUCCCAAGUUCCCAUAGUCCUUAUAAUCCCCUCCAGCAGACUGCGAUUAUUCUAUUUUUCGCCAGACGGUUUUUCUGUUUGUAUCGUUCCAUCACCGUCCAGGAAAGUCUCAUCAUGAAAAGAAUGCACAACAUUUUCACAGUUCAUCGAAAAGCUGAAAAUUGUGGGCGUAUGUUAGGAAUAUAUUUGGCAACAUUUGUUAACUACCAAGUUUUUCUUCUAUUAGCUUACACUGAGAAUUCUCUCCAGACUGUCGUACACAAGGCGAAAACUUUUUCUAAAAUUGUCAUUUUUAUCUUUUGUCUGUUUGUUUACAACGAAGUAAAUCGAA